GCCCUGAGAAGUAAGUUAGCAAGCUGAUAAGCGAGAACAUAAUAACAGCUUAGAACAAUAGCCAAGGAAGUUAGAGCCAGGAGAUAUUUGGUUCUCUAUAGAAACUAAAAAUAGGGUCUUAAGCGUGAGCUGUGUGACUCUCCUUGAGUGGCAACCUGUAAAUAAAUGCCCUCCUUUCUCUUGCUGCAAAACCCCAGUGUGGGUGUUUGGCUUUACUGGGCUGGGCAAGUGGACUCCAGUUUGGUUCAGUAACAGACAAUAUGAACGUGAUAUCUCUUUAUGCUUAAAUUGUAUGAAAAUGUUUUUGGUAAAAGCCUGUUUGUCCUUUUUGUAUACCCUUUUUCCAGUUGAAAGAUCUGUGUGAGAGUAGGGUAUAACUGAAAAAAAAAAUGAUUGCUGAAUAGGACACUCUGACUUUGUAGCAAUGAAGAAAAAUAGAAACUCAGCCCUCAGGGAGCUAUAAAGGAGAGGAAGUCAUUACCAAUCUUUCUGUUUUUCAGAACUGUUCCUGGAAGCUUUCCCUUCUGUCUGAUGGAAAUCUUCCCACAAUGUCUUUCCAAGCUUUUGCUUAAUGCUUUGAAUUCAGACUUCUGAGCCUCUGAGCACACCAUACAGCAGAGGGGGUGGGGGUGGGGAUCCACUGUGGAACUUUCCAUCCAGAAAACCUCAGAUGUCAUCCUCAUUCCUGAGGCAAAAGUGUUUGGAACUGACAGCCUGAAGGCAGUUCCUCUGAAAUGAAGGACUCCAGUGAAUGUUUUGGACUGGGAUGGAAUCUCACAGUGGUUUCAGUGGGAAGGGAGAAUCACAAGGAAUCAGGUGUUCAGAGGAAUGUAUUGAGUAGAGGUGAAGAACUAGGAUGUUGAAAAGUAAAAAAAGGAGAGAAGGAGAGAAAGAAAGAGGAAGAAAAAGAGGGAAAGAGAACAGGAAUAUUGCUUCAUUCUAAAAAUGGGUAUUAAUAAUGGCCGAUCAAUAUUUUGUGUAUUUAAAAUGGAGAACUCUAUAAAUAUUUAUUGAGUUUACUUGUUCUGGAUCUGAGUUGAAGUCCUGGAUAUCCUUAUUAAUUUUCUGUCUCGUUGAGUCUAAAUCUCGUUAUGGGACUUAUGUAUCUGGGUAAUAAGAUCUCUUAUUGUUGCAUUGAUCGUUUUACCACUGUAUCUUUGUUGCUUUGAAAUCUAUUUGAGAUCUAUUUUAUCAAAUGUGAGAAUUGCAACUCCUGCUUUUUGUUUAUUUAUUUAUUUUUGCUCUCCAUUUGGUUGGUAAAUUUUUCUCCAACCCUUUGUUUUGAGUCUUUGUGUAUCUUUGGAUAUACCGUUAGGUUUUGGCUGUAUCUUUUGAUUGGGGGAUUUAGUCGAUUUAAAUUUAGGGUUACUGCCAUUUGAUGUUAACUGGCUAUUUUAUCCAUUCGUUGAUGUAAAUUCUUCUUUAUGUUGAUGCUCUUUAAUUUUUGGUAUAUUUUUAGAAAGGCUCAUACUGGUUGUUCCUUUCUAUGUAUAAUGCUUCUUUCAGAAGUUCUUGUAAAGCAGGCCUGGUGGUAAUAAAAUCUCUGAGUACUUGCUUGUUGAUAAAAGAUUUUAUUUUUCCUUCAAUUGUGAAGCAUAGUUUGGCAGGCUAUAAGAUUCUAGGCUGAACGUUCUGUUCCUUAAGUAUGUUGAAUAUUGGCCCCCACUCUCUUCUGGCUUGUAGGGUUUCCGCUGAGAGAUCUGCUGUAAGUCUAAUAGGCUUCCCCUUAUGGGUAACCUGGCCUUUCUCUCUGGCUGCCCUUAGUAUUUUCUCCUUCAUUUCGAUCCUGGUGAAUCUAACGAUUAUGUGCCUUGGGGUUGCUCUUCUUGAGGAAUAUCUUUGUGGUGUUCUCUGUAUUACUUGGGGUUGAACAGUGUCCUGCUUUGCUAGAUUGGGAAAAUUUUCCUGGAUAAUAUCCUGAAAAGUAUUUUCCAGCUUGGAUUCAUUCUCUCCAUCACAUUCAGGUACACCAAUCAAGCAUAGAUUGGGUCUUUUCACAUAGUCCCAUAUUUCUUGGAGACUUUGCUCAUUCCUUUUCAUCCUUUUUUCUCUAUUCUUGUCUUGUAGUUUUAUUUCAUUAAGUUGGUCUUCGACCUCUGAUAUCCUUUCUUCUGCUUGAUCCAUUCUGCUAUUUAAACUUGUGCAUAUUUCACUAAGUUCUAGUGUUGUAUUUUUCAACUCCGUUAGUUCAUUUAUAUUCCUCUCUAUAUUGUCUAUUCUUUUUUCAAAUCUUUUUUCAAAGUUCUUAGUUUCUUUACAUUGGGUUAGAACAAGUUCUUUUAAUUCCCAGAAGUUUCUUAUCAUCCACCUUCUGAAGCCUACUUCAGAUAAUGGAACACAGAUAAUGGACAACUCUCUAUCCCCUGGUGGAUACUGUUUCAGGAUUUUGUUGAUGAUAUGUUUCCACAUAAAUCAGAAGAAAAGAAGGCACAGGGUCAUCAAAAACUCUUCUGUUAAAUUACAUCAGAUUGGAGUCAAUGACUUUCCCUUUACAAUCAUGAGGGUGCUCAGGAGGGUUGUGAAAUGAUAUUUGGCAGGGAAUCAAGGGAAGUGAAUACUCUAACAGGAACCACCCUGAUCUUUAUGCUCUAUGAGAUACUCAUAUAAGGGGACAAUGACAAAGAGAAAAUCAUUUUAUUCAUCAAACUCUGGUUGGGUAGAAAUUGUGUUGCAGGGUGAAUUAUGAUGUUGUGAACAAAGAUCAUUUUGGGGAAGAUCCCAGGUUGGAUGUUGAACUACAAAAAGAAUAUUAGUGGGACAGUUGGUAACAUUAGAAGAAGACUUGUAGAUUAGUUGAUGAUAUGUUGUCAAUGUUGACUUCCUUCUGAAAGAUUAUUCUAUGGUUAUGUAAGGUGUUAACAUGAUGAGAAACUGCAUAAAGGGUAUAUGGGAACUCUGUGUACCAUUUUUACAACUUUAAGUCUAAAAUCAUUUCACACAAAAAGGGAUAAAAAGUCAAAUCUAGGCUGACAAUUAUUUUCCUCUUGGCAUUUUGGAAAUAUUUUCCCACUGGAUUUUGGUUGCUAUUGAGACAUUCAAGCUUAGGCUAAUACCAAUUCCUUCACACAUAUUUCUUUUUUGUCUCAAAGGCACUUAAAAAUCUUUUUGCCUCAAAGGCACUUAAAAGAUACUACCAUGUUUUUAGAUGACAUCUGCUUAGGCAUCUACUUGGGUGAUCUUUUGGGAAAUUUCUGUAUUUAAGGAUUAGCAUUUUUCAUUAAUUCUGAAAAUUUCAAUCAUUGUCUCUUCAACAAUUGCCUUUCCUCCAUUUCCUUUUGUCCUUCUGCAACUCUGAUCACAUGCAUUUUAACUUCCUCACUUUGUUCUCCAUGUCUCUGAAUAUCUCUGUUGAUUUUCCAUCUCACUGUUUUUGUGUGCUGCAUUCUGAGUAGUUUUUUCAAAUCUGCCUUCUAAAUCAAUAAAUGCCUUUUCAGGUGUGUAUAAACUACUUUUCAACAAAUCCUUUGAGUUUCUAAUUUCUAUUAUAUGAGUUUUUAUAUUUCUUUUAUUAUUAUUAUUAUUUUGUGAUGGAGUCUCACUCUGGUACCCAGGCUGAAGUGCAGUGGUGUAAUCCCGGCUCACUGCAACCUCCGCCUCCCGGCUUCAAGUGAUUUUCCUGCCUCAGCCUCCCGAGUAGCUGGGACUACAAGUGCAUGCCACCACACCUGGCUAAUUUUUGUAUUUUUUUUAGUAGAGAUAGGGUUUUGCCAUGUUGGUUAGGCUGGUCUUGAACUCCUGACCUUAGGUGAUCCACCCUCCUCGGCCUCCCAAAGUGCUAGAAUUGCAGGUAUGAGCCACUUUGUCCAGCCUGUUCCUUUGAUAACACUAAUUCUUUCUUUCUUUAUCUUGAAAUUUACUAAAUACAUUAAUACAUUUUUUUUUGAGACAGAGUCUCAUUCUGUUGCUCAGGCUGGAGUGCAGUGGCAUGAUCUCAGUUCACCACAACCUCCACCUCCCAGGUUUAAGUCAUUCUCCUGCUUCAGCCUCCCAAGUGGCUGGGAUUAUAGGUGUGUACCACCAUGCUAAUUUUUGUUUUUAGCAAAGACUGGGUUUUACCUUGUUAGCCAGGCUGGUCUCUAACUCCUGACCUCAGUGAUCCACCUGCCUAAGCCUCCCAAGGUGUACUGAAUACAUUCUUUUAUAUUGUCUAUUCAAUUACAGUAUCUACAGUUUUGAUGCUCAGGCUUAUAGUUUAUUACCUGGCAACUUUUGCACAUUGUGGCUUAUUUAUUUGUGUAUAUUCAUUGAUUUUGCAUUAUGACCUAAUAUCCCUUGGAACAUUAUCAAACUUGGAAAUUCUUUGGGAAUUUUGUAAAAAGUUUAAGUAUUUCCUUUUGAGGGUGUUGAGAGUGUUUUUAUUUGCUUUUCUUAGAUGCAUGGGAACAUUACCAAGCCAGAAUUGCUUAAAAUGAAAUUUUCUGCUUAAGUUUUUUUUUUUUUUUGGCCACAUAGUUAGUGAGAAUGUCAGCCCAAAAGAAUAAUGCUUCUUGGCUUAAGAUUAGAAAUUAUCAGCAGACUUUUUUUUUUCCUCUCUGCUUUACUUAGGGCCAAAGCCAAAAACAGGCAUGUAUAUCCCCAUCAUUUAGGUCUGCAAGGUGUUUGUUCUCCAGUUUAAUCUCUGAAUGGGUCCUGGCUUUAUGUGGGUUCUAUUAUAUAAUGUAUCAUGUGCAGACCCCAGGCUGUCUUCCAUCUCCUUCAUAAUGUAAUGUAGGCCACCAGCAAGUAAUGUAGAUCACCAGCACAAAUGAACACUUGCUUAUUCUGGUGGAUUUUUCACUUUCCUGUCAUUUCUGCAAUCCAUGGAAUUCCUUACUGUCUUUUAAAUGUGGCUAUAUAUUUAAAAAAUGUUUUGAAGAUUAUACAGUGUUUUUUUAUUGUGUUACACGGGCUUUUUGUUCUGCAUAUAUUUGGUCUACCAUAAUGCUUGUUAGGAAACACAUUUAAUCUUCUGUGAGGUAUAAUUUAUUAUUCCCAGGUUUUAUAUAGAAAUAUCUUAGGAUAACAGAGGUUAAGCGAUUUUUUCCAACAUUGUAGAGAUAUUAAGUGGUAGAGGUGAGGUUUAAAUGGGUCUAGACCCAAAGCCAAGGCACUUUCAAAAGAUUAAUAAAAUUUGUUGAAUGAUAGUUGGACUAACUCCUGCCUGAAUUAAGCUAGAAAUUGAUAUAAGGUAUUUAAUUAAGUGAGGAAGAUCCCAAAUCAGAAACCAAGUAUAAUAAAAAUCGAGAUCAAGAAGCUCCCUGAGUGUAGCUCCUCAUAUUACUGUCCUACACAAAAGUACUGCCUCAUAGGGCAAUUGGGAGGCCCCAGGAACACUUGCUGGGGUCAGGCCCUGCUCUCCAUUCUGACUCCUGUGUUAUUUGAAAGCUCCCUCCCUACUCAGUGACUGCUCUCAUGCUUCUUCAUUGAAGCUGUUGACUAUCAGAACAUAAUACCCCAAAGUAUAGCACCUUGGUGUGCUGAGUACUUUGAACUGAAAGAUGCUGGAAAGGCCUCCAAAGAAAGAUCUCUUUGACCUUCUUUCUCCCCUGGAGUGAACCACAGAAACUAGAAUUCCUCUUCUGCAAGGUGGAUAAUAGAAACUAACAGCCCUCUCCUGAAAGCCAGCCAUAAAACUUAGGAAGGUCACUCUCCCCCUUCUCAUUUGAAGACCCUUAUUCCAGAGGAAUCCUGCCCCAUACCUGCAAAGAAGAGAUGCUACACAGAGGGUCCAAGAAGAAUUUGAAUACACCCCCUCCCUCAUCCCCAGUCUAUUACCAUUAGAUCAUACUCUUAUCCAAACACAUCUCUACACAGCUGCUCAUUCUUCAUGGAGCCCAAGCACAAAAACAGUUUUCCCUGGAUCUUUGGGUCUUCAUUUCUGAAGGCUCUCAUAUCACAUAAAACUUUGGUUAAAGAAAUUUGUUGGGCCGGGCGCGGUGGCUCAUGCCUGUAAUCCCAGCACUUUGGGAGGCCGAGGCAGGUGGAUCACGAGGUCAAGAGAUCGAGACCAUCUGGGUGAACAUGGUGAAACCCCGUCUCUACUAAAAAUAUAAAAAAUUAGCUGGGCACGGUGGUGCGUGCCUGUAAUCCCAGCUACUCUGGAGGCCGAGGCAGGAGAAUUGCCUGAACCCAGGAGGCGGAGGUUGCGGUGAGCCGAGAUCGCACCAUUGCACUCCAGCCUGGGUAACAAGAGCGAAACUCCGUCUCAAAAAAAAAAGAAAGAAAUUUGUUAUGCUUUUCUCUUGUUAACUUGUGUUUUGUUAUAGGAGUAUCAGCCAUGACUCUUACAAUGAGUGAGGAAAGGUAUUACAGGUUUGUUUUUUUUUACCCCUAUACACUCUUAGAGCUGAUCAUCACAGUUUGUAAUUUUUCCACUUUUCAUUCCUACUCCUGUGUAUUUUGAUAAAGUUUUACAGAUCAGUAGACUUCCCAUGGCAGAGUAUUUCCUGCUUCUCAACAGCCCUUAAACCAAUCCAAGGAAAACAAAAGAACAUCAUAGUGCUUUGUCAUAUGACAAGAUUAUAAAAGCAGUAUCCAGUGGCAGAAUGCCUGACUGCUCCUGGACACAGCCAAUAGCUGACUUCAGUGCUCCCCAUCCCUGCUUGUCAGUGAUUAGUCUAAAUUGUUAUUACAAGCCCAGUCUGACUAAUGAGUGUUAACGAGGGGCCAUUUUGAUUGUUGGCUCCUGACUCUGCAGAAAACACGAAACUGAACUGGACAAAGAUGCUGAUGAGGGGCUGCAGGAUGCAAUUCACUUCACCAGCAGUCACUAAGGUUUGACUCCUUUGAACAUUUCGUAUAAACAGAAGCAUACAGUAUGUGACAUUUUUAAACUUCCUUUUGUCACUUCACAUGUUGUCAAGGUUCAUCUGUGUUGUAUCAUGUAUUAGGUCUCAUCUCACUGUGUUGCCCAGGCUGCAGUGCAGUGGCACAAUCUCGGCUCACUGAAGACCCCAUCUCCUGGGCUCAAGUGAUCCUCCUACCUCAGCAUCCCAAGAAGAUGGGACUACAGGGUCCUAUUCCGGAAGGGAUUGGUGGCAGGACAUGUAAAGACAAGACUACAUACAUCCAUCUUUAGCACACACAGGCUGCAGUGCAGUGGCAAGAUCCUGGCUUACAGCUACCUCCACCUCCUCGGUUCAAGCAAUUCUCUUGCCUCAGCUGUGCUUACAGGCCCCAAACCUUGGUCAGAAGGGGAACCAGUCUCGUUUACUCUGCGCCGAGAGCUGCUGUGCUGAGGUGCCAUCACAGAUGCUGCACCGGUCUCAGGAGUUGUGCUGGGGAACCGUGUGGGUCUUCCAAACCUCGGUCAGAAGGGGAGCCGGCCGUAUUUACUCUGCUCUGAGAGCUGCCCCACCGAGGUGCCAGAGAAGCUGCUGCGCUGGCCACAAGAGUCACGCUGGCGGCCCGUGUGGGUCCUCCAAGCCUCGGUCAGAAGGGGAGCCAGCCCUGUUUACUCUGCUCCAAGAGCUGCCACGCCAAGAUGCUGGUGAAACCGCUGCGCCGGCCGCAAGAGUUGCGCUGGUGACCCGUGUGGUUCCUCCACUGGGGAUCUUCUGCUCUGUGAGUGACCAGAAUUUGUCUGAAAGUGUGGCAUCCUCUAGUUCUCUGCCCUUUGACUGAGAGCUGCAAUCCCGAGCUGUUAUCGAUCGGCCAUCCUGGAUCAUUCGCAACCUUGGCUUUUGUAAAUUGCUAGAUCAUUUGCAGGAUGCAAAUUGAGGUAAAGCUGCAUACCUUCUCUUAUCUGUAAAUGCCAGAAUUGCUGGCCUUUGUUUACCAGAGUAAGCACCCCCAGAUAAUUCCAUCCUGGCGCCAAGUAAAUAAAAAUCUAUGGAUCCCACCCCUACCCAGAUGAUGUGUAAACGAAUGUUAAUCUCAGCAUCUGUGAACCCCUUAAAUGACAAUCAGAAUGUCAAAUAGUCCCCUGGCUCUCGAAAUGUCCGGAACCCCCUCACCGUCCUCUCCACCCAGAAGGUGAUUUGAAUCUACUGGUCCUCGGAAUGUGUGAAGCCCCUCACCCCAUCCUCUCCCCUCACCCCCAAGAUGAUUUUAUGAGUAUAAAAGGUCUUGUCACCCUCUUUUACGGGGCCAUGGGUUGGAGAGACGUGAGUCCUCCGUGGUCGCCGGCAAUAAACCCUGCAAUUUGUCCUACUUUUGUUCUGGUGUUCGACUUUCUGUGCUCGCUUUGAUAUAACAUUUUGGAGGCCCCAGCAAGAUAUUUUUAUUUUUCACCACCAGACAAAAGCCAUCCAUCUCAGAGUCUCGCCCGGGCAGCUGCUCCCUCCUUGGGAGCCUCUUGGGGAGGAGCCCCCUGAGCUGUCUCAGGGCCCCGGAGUGCCACUGCGGAAGAGCACCCACCUGGCCGACGUUCACCCAAAAUUCUUAAGGGUCCUAAAAGCCUCCGGAGGUAGGUUUGGUUUGGAAUCUGGGAAAAAGGACCUGAGUUGGGGGACUGACGAGUCAUUGCAACUCUGACCUGGCAAGCCUCACCGAGACGUUGCUUGAGGCUUCUGGUGGCUGUCAUAGAGGGUGGCAGCCUUCUGGUAGCUGGUAUAGUGGGUAUCAGCUUCCGUAGCUGGCAUAGUGGGUGUCAGCAUUCGAUUGUUUUCUGUAGCCUCCAUGUGAGUGAGAGAGAGUGUGUGUAUAUAUUUAGUCCCAUGGCUUUCAGCCAUGGGACUUGAGUGGGCCUCCACCCAUGGUUCCACGGGAGCAUCAUAAGGCAUAAUGGUGAUUCACCUCAGAGCUGUCCUACUCGGACUUCCAUCCUGAGGUGACCAGGCCCGGGGGUUAUAUGGGUACACCUUAGCCAAGAUGCACCUGAAAGACCCCUCCAGGGGUGUGGCUGAGAAGGCAACUGAGUGGUCUCCUCUGGGAGGCUCCCAUCCCUUGUUUGUCACUCUUUCAUGUGGUUCUGUCUCAUCCGUAAAUUUGUUAGUUUUAUUGGACUUCUGCUAGCAGACAUACACUGGUUCAGACCAUCUUUCCUUGAAGUAGGGGAUAUAUUACAGUGGUUGAUGAACCACUGGAUGCAGGGAACUUUUAUUGAUUAUACCCCUGCAGAGAUUACUCUCUUCUCCUUCUUUCUCAUCUUCUUCUUCUAUCACUGAGGCCUCAUUCUUUCUUUCUCCGCCAUGUGGCAGAUAGUCUUAACUUUAGUUGUUUUUAUUCUCUUCCUUGUUAUGAUCAUUGUGGCUUGUAAAUUUUCCCAACCACCUCCACCGGGAAAAGAGUAUUUUUGCCUGUGCUGGGUCUGAGUCCACGUCAGGAAGGCCGUUGUGCCCUCGGCACCUUGGAAGCAGUUUCUUUGGGGUUGUAGGAAACAAAGUCCUAGAUCAGGGUCUACGAGAGCUCUUUGUCAGAUUGGGAUGGAAAACUGGUAACUGCCUAUUCUGUCAGAAAAGUGUCCAAUGUUGUUAUGGGCAGUGCCCGGUGAUGUAUUACAGGGAAGCAUACUGGCAUCAUCCCAAUUGUUGGGAAUUCGGGUGCCAUAAACCACUAAAGACAGAUUGGCAACUCUUUUGCUCACUCUAUGAAUUGUGGUGGGUACAAAAUACACACCCAGUUGAUCUGUUAGUUCAUCUCUUUUGCCAUAUCCACACUUUUCCACAGGCUUUGGAUAGGAGAGCCUAUAAUCGGGAGGAUUAUGCCUGAGCAGCAGUAAACCUUCAUAGAGCUUAUUCUCGCCAGCUGUGGUUUGUGGAGAGAGAGACCGCCACCUUACCCUGGCCCUUAUCCCCUGUUCCUUUGGAUAGGACUAGAGACAGACCCACCAAAUCAAUUGUCUGGUCCUUGCAGGACCUGGCUGUGGAGGGCUUACUUAAACCUGCUUUAGAGAGGGCAAAAUUUGAAUUGGAGGCUUUUCAAAAUUGGCUAUACCACAGAGAGAGACAUGAGUAGUAAGCAAAAGUCCCAAAAAAAAGGAAAAGAAAGCAAGAGAGAGGAGAGAGGAAAUAGGGAAAGAGAGAGGGGAGAGGAAAUAGGGAGAGAGAGAGGAGACAGAGAAGAGAGUGAAAAAAAAAAGAGGGAGACAGGAAUUAAAUGCUUUUCAGGGUCCCUGUGUAAAGGUGACAAAAAGCUGCGGGCAGGGAACUCGCAGCCGGCCCAGCAGUGGCUUGGAGCUCAGUUUAAACUGACACAAAAAGCAUUUUUUUCCCUCCUCUGCCGGCUGCCAGCCCCACCCAGCUUUCAGGCAGAAACCUGCCUCAGAGUGUAGCAUUUGCAUCUAAAAACUGGCUUUAAGAAAAGCUUUCUAACUCUUAGUAGUGCAAAUUAUUUGUUAGCACAGCCUCCCCCCACCCCCAAGCUGCAAAAUUGUUAGUUCAAGUCCUCAGUAAAGCCAGUCUUAAAUUAGUAAAAUCUCUCAAGGAAAAAUUUAAAACUGAAAAAAAAAAAAAAAAAAAAAAAGAACCAAAUGGGCUCGUCUCAGUCCUGACCAUGCACCCCCAUUCGAUGCAUGAUGGAAAACUUUAAAAUAGGGUUCUCUGGCCAGUAUGGUGUUAAACUAACCCCACAGAGGCUUCGGACCCUCUGUGAGUUAGAGUGGCCAGGCUUUGGGGUAGGCUGGCCAGAUACGUGGACUUAUGACCCCAAGAUAACUCAGGCUGUCUGGAACAUUGUGUCAGGGUCCCCAGGCCACCCUGAGCAAUUUCCAUACAUCGAUCAAUGGCUGAGGCUGAACCAGCACCCCCCUCCUUGGCUUGAAAAAUGUAUAAAGUGUGCUGGAAAUGUAUAAAGUGUGCUGAAAAAUGUAUAAAGUGGUUAUGCUAGCAGGCCCAAAGAAGAGCCCCUCAGCACCGGCUGUUCUUCCAGGCCCUGCCGAGGAUCAAGAGUUGCCUCCACCGUAUUCUCGGCCUUCAGGGGCAGGGUCCCAACACCCCUUCCUGGACAGUACUAAUGACCAGCCCUUGUCUCCUCUCCACACUCGAAGCGGGGCCCCACACCCGCCAGAGCUGUUGCCCCUCCGGGAGGCACCUCCCGCAGACGGCAGCAGCCGGGGCCACCCUUUCUCUGUUCAUAUCCCCUUUUUCUCUAGUGACUUGUAUAACUGGAAGGCACAACACCCUCCAUUUUCUGAAAAGCCCCAGGCACUCACAGGACUCCUGGGGUCAGUUUUUUAAACCCACCGUCCAACCUGGGAUGAUUGUCAGCAGCUGCUCCUGGUGUUGUUUACCACGGAGGAAAGAAGUAGAAUUAGAUAAGAAGCCCAUAAAGCAAUACUUGGGACAGGGGGAGGGUCAGUGCAAGACCGCCAGGAACAAAUUAAUGAACUUUUCCCUUCCACCAGGCCCCAAUGGGACCCAAACACCUCAGUGGGCAUUUAGGCUUUGACCAAUUUUCACUGGUACUUAUUAGAGGGAAUUAAGGGGGCACCCCAAAAACCCACCAACCUCUCCAAGGUAGGGACUGUGACCCAGGGUCCGCAGGAGCCUCCAGCCGCUUUCCUUGAGCGCCUACAGGACGCCUACCGCACCUACACACCUAUUGACCCUGAGGCCCUGGAAAAUCAGCGGGCCAUCAAUCUGGCUUUUGUUUCCCAGUCAGCCCCAGACAUCAAAAGAAAGUUGCAAAAAUUAGAGGGGUUCCAGGGAAUGAAUCUAACUCAGUUGUUGGAGAUCGCCUAAAAAGUUUUUAACAAUAGAGACACCUUAGAAGCCAAACAAGAUAAGAGAGUUACUAGGGCAGUAAUAGCAGCUCUCCAGGAAACCUAUGCCUCCAUUGGAGGUCAGGAAACCUGAGUUAUCUCAAGGGAACCAGAAAUCCAGCAGAGAGUCCCUAGGAGACAGAGGCCCCAGCUGGGGCCUAACCAAUGCACAUUCUGCCAAAGAGAGGGACACUGGAGGAAGGAAUGUCCAGAAAGAAGGAGUCGAGGGGUAAUACAGGAGAGACAGCCAAAGGCCAUUUUCAGCUUAGAAACCUGGGACUGACAGACCCCGGGCUCUUAUCAACUAAGCCCCCAGGAGCCCAGGGUCACUUUGAAAGUUGGGGGCACACCUGUCAGUUUCUUGGUCGAAACUGGAGCAGCCCACUCGGUCCUUACUCAGCCAUUGGGACCACUGUCCAACAGAAAAACAAUUAUUCAGGGAGCUACAGGAAAAACCACAUCAAGCCCUUGGACCACCAACCGACUCGUUGAUCUGGGAAAUUGUACUGUCACCCACUCCUCUUUUGUUAUUCCAGAGUGUCCAUACCCAUUCCUAGGACAGGAUUUACUCCACAAACUUCAAGCAAAUAUUUCUUUCUGCUAGAGUCAGGCUUGCCUCUCAAUUCCUCCCCCCUUGACAUCAGGGCCACCUCAGAAAAUCCUCAUCUGUGCUCUAUCAGAUGAGUAUCUCUUGCAGGAAGCUUUAUCCUCAGAAGCAGAUCAACCGCCAACAUCAGACCUCCUCUGCCAGUUUCAAGAAAAGGUACCUGGAGUAUGGGCUGAGACAAAUCCCCCAGGCUUGGCAAGUCACCAUACCCCGGUCAUGGUCCAGCUAUUGGCAAUGGCAACUCCAGUCCAGGUAUGACAAUAUCCCAUGAGCCAGGAAGCUAGACGGGGAAUUGCUCCACAUAUAACCAGACUUCUAAAAGGAGGAAUCCUUACUACCUGUAAGUCCCCCUGGAAUACUCCCUUACUCCUCAUCCUAAAACCAGGCACAAAGGACUAUCGACCUGUACAGGACUUGAGGGAGGUAAACAAAUGAGUGGAAACUGUUCAUCCUACAGUUCCGAACCUGUACACCCUCCUGAGUCUAUUGCUCCCGGACCACCUCCACUACAUGGUCCUGGGCCUAAAAGAUGCAUUCUUUUGUAUACCGCUGGCUCCCAUCAGCCAGCCCAUAUUUGCUUUUGAAUGGACUGACCCAGAUACAUGGGUUUCUGGGCAACUCACUUGGAUGAGACUGCCACAGGGUUUCAAAAAUUGCCCUACGCUGUUUGAUGAGGCAUUGAGCCAAGACCUUGCAGCUUUCCGAGCUAAGUUCCCAGAAUGUACCCUGCUCCAAUACAUGGAUGACUUACUCUUGGCUACAAAAACCCAGGAGGCCUGUAAAGAGACCACUCAGUAAUUAUCAAAAACACUGCAGACUUUGGGGUACCAGGUCUCAGCUAAAAAGGCCCAACUCUGCCAGCCGAGAGUUACUUACCUGGGCUAUAUUAUAGAGAAGGGCAACCGGGCACUGGAACCCAGCCUAAUCCAAGCAGUGCUGCAAAUACCCACCCCCACCACAAAACGCCAAGUUUGAGAAUUCCUUGGGGCAGUAGGAUACUGCAGACUAUGGAUUUUGGGAUUUGCUGAGAUAGCCAAGCCCCUGUAUGCCUGCACUGGAGGAAAUCAGCCCUUGACAUGGACAGAGGUAGAGCAACGGGCUUUUGACAAGCUCAAGACUGCCCUGACUGCGGCCCCUGCCUUGGCCUUGCCAGACAUCUCUAAACCUUUCCAGUUGUUUGUGCAUGAAAAACAGGGAGUCGCUAAGGGGGUGCUCACCCAAACUCUGGGACCCUGGUCCCAGCCAGUCACCUACCUCUCAAAAAAACUUGACCCCGUAGCCUCCAGAUGGCCAGCUUGCCUAAGAGUGGUGGUGGCCACAGCCUUAUCAGUCAAGGAGGCGGACAAGCUGACUUUGGGGCAGGGGUUAAACUUGGUAGCUCCCCACGCGGUGGAGUCACUACUCCGUGGAGCCCCGGGAAAAUGGAUGUCAAACGCCUGCAUAGUUUAAUAUCAGGCCUUACUUUCGGAUCAGCCCCGCAUAAAGUUCUUAAAGACCACAGUUUUAAACCCUGCCACAUUGCUACCUGACAGCAAGCCAGAGGAGCCCUUACAUGACUGCCAACAGACAAUAGAUGUCCUCCACACUGCGUGACCGGAUAUCACCAACGUCCCUCUGCAGAACCUGGAAGAGGUAUUGUAUACAGAUGGAAGCAGCUUCAUGGUAAAGGGAGUCAGGUAUGCUGGGGCAGCUGUGGUCACCCUAGAGUGGGUUAUCUGGGCCCAGCCUCUCCCACACGGGACCUCAGCCCAGAAGGCAGAACUCAUAGCUCUGAUAAAGGCCUUGGACUGGGCAGAGGGAAAAACUGUCAAUAUCUACACGGAUAGUUGAUAUGCCUUUGCUACAGCCCAUGUACAUGGAGCCAUUUAUAAAGAAAGAGGGCUGCUUACCUCAGAGGGAAAAAUCAUCAAAAACAAAGAGGAUUGGGGGAUUUAGUCGAUUUAAAUUUAGGGUUACUGCCAUUUGAUGUUAACUGGCUAUUUUAUCCAUUCGUUGAUGUAAAUUCUUCUUUAUGUUGAUGCUCUUUACUUUUUGGUAUAUUUUUAGAAAGGCUCAUACUGGUUGUUCCUUCCUAUGUAUAAUGCUUCUUUCAGAAGUUCUUGUAAAGCCGGCCUGGUGGUAAUAAAAUCUCUGAGUACUUGCUUGUUCAUAAAAGAUUUUAUUUUUCCUUCAAUUGUGAAGCUUAGUUUGGCAGGAUAUGAGAUUCUAGGCUGAAAGUUCUGUUCCUUAAGUAUGUUGAAUAGUGGCCCCCGCGCUCUUCUGGCUUGUAGGAUUUUCGCUGAGAGAUCUGCUGUAAGUCUAAUAGGCUUCCCUUUAUGGGUAACCUGGUCUUUCUCUCUGGCUGCCCUUAGUAUUUUCUCCUUCGUUUCGAUCCUGGUGAAUCUAAUGAUUAUGUGCCUUGGGGUUGCUCUUCUUGAGGAAUAUCUUUGUGGUGUUCUCUGUAUUACUUGGGGUUGAAUAGUGUCCUGCUUUGCUAGAUUGGGAAAAUUUUCCUGGAUAAUAUCCUGAAAAGUAUUUUCCAGCUUGGAUUCAUUCUCUCUAUCACAUUCAGGUGCACCAAUCAAGCAUAGAUUGGGUCUUUUCACAUAGUCCCAUAUUUCUUGGAGACUUUGCUCAUUCCUUUUCAUCCUUUUUUCUCUAUUCUUGUCUUGUAGUUUUAUUUCAUUAAGUUGGUCUUCGACCUCUGAUAUCCUUUCUUCUGCUUGAUCCAUUCUGCUGUUUAAACUUGUGCAUAUUUCACUAAAUUCUCGUGUUGUAUUUUUCAACUCCGUUAGUUCAUUUAUAUUCAUCUCUAUAUUGUUUAUUCUUUUCAGCAUUUUGUCAAACCUUUUUUCAAAGUUCUUAGUUUCUUUACAUUGGGUUAGAACAAGUUCUUUUAAUUCCCAUAAGUUUCUUAUCAUCCACCUUCUGAAGCCUACUUCAGAUAAUGGAACAACAGUCUUUUUCCAUCAGGGCUUGUUCCAUUGCUGAUGAGGAACUGCAAUCCCCUGUAGAGGGAGAGGGGUUCUGAUUUUGGGUAUGCUCGGCCUUCUUAGGCUGUUUUUUUUUCCUUUAUUAUAAAUUUAUCCAUCUGUCGUCUUUACAGUUACUGCCUUUCUAAUUAGAUUUCUGAGUUGACGUCCAAUUUAUUGAUUCCCAAUUUAU